AGCGAACGCUGGCGGCAGGCCUAACACAUGCAAGUCGAACGAAGUCUUCGGGCUUAGUGGCGGACGGGUGAGUAACACGUGGGAACGUGCCUUUAGGUUCGGAAUAACUCAGGGAAACUUGUGCUAAUACCGAAUGUGCCCUUCGGGGGAAAGAUUUAUCGCCUUUAGAGCGGCCCGCGUCUGAUUAGCUAGUUGGUGAGGUAAAGGCUCACCAAGGCUACGAUCAGUAGCUGGUCUGAGAGGAUGACCAGCCACAUUGGGACUGAGACACGGCCCAAACUCCUACGGGAGGCAGCAGUGGGGAAUCUUGCGCAAUGGGCGAAAGCCUGACGCAGCCAUGCCGCGUGGAUGAUGAAGGUCUUAGGAUUGUAAAAUCCUUUCACCGGUGAAGAUAAUGACUGUAGCCGGAGAAGAAGCCCCGGCUAACUUCGUGCCAGCAGCCGCCGUAGUAA
rnacentral:rRNA from 1 species